GACGAACUCUGGCGGCUUGCUUAACACAUGCAAGUCGAACGAAGUGUCGCCCGGGUGAGUCAUACGUGAGUAACCUGCCCUCCUUUUUGGGAUACGCCUUGGAAACGGGGUCUAAUACCGAAUAAAGGGGGAUGGUCUCGCGGCCUAUCAGCUUGUUGGUGGGGUGAUGGCCUACCAAGGCGGUGACGGGUAGCCGGCCUGAGAGGGUGACCGGCCACAUUGGGAGUGAGAUACGGCCCAGAAUCCUACGGGAGGCAGCAGUGGGGGAUAUGGCACAAUGGGCGAAAGCCUGAUCCAGCCAUGCCGCGUGUGUGAAGAAGGUCUUCGGAUUGUAAAGCACUUUAAGUUGGGAGGCGUUACCAACAGAAUAAGCACCGGCUAACUUCGUGCCAGCAGCCGCGGUAAUAC
rnacentral:rRNA from 1 species